rnacentral:rRNA from 1 species
UACGAGGGGGGCGAGCGUUGUUCGGAAUUAUUGGGCGUAAAGGGUGCGUAGGCGGUUCCGCAAGUCCUGUGUGAAAUCUUCGGGCUCAACUCGAAGUCUGCACGGGAAACUGCGGGGCUUGAGUGUGGGAGGGGUGAGUGGAAUUCCCGGUGUAGCGGUGAAAUGCGUAGAGAUCGGGAGGAACAUCUGUGGCGAAGGCGGCCACCUGGACCAACACUGACACUGAGGCACGAAAGCGUGGGGAGCAAACAGG